GAUGAACGCUGGCGGCGUGCCUAAUACAUGCAUGUCGAACGAAACUUCUUUAUCACCGAGUGCUUGCACUCACCGAUAAAGAGUUGAGUGGCGAACGGGUGAGUAACACGUGGGCAACCUGCCCAAAAGAGGGGGAUAACACUUGGAAACAGGUGCUAAUACCGCAUAACCAUAGUUACCGCAUGGUAACUAUGUAAAAGGUGGCUAUACUACCGCUUUUGGAUGGGCCCGCGGCGCAUUAGCUAGUUGGUAGGGUAAAGGCUUACCAAGGCAAUGAUGCGUAGCCGAAUUGAGAGGUUGAUCGGCCACAUUGGGGCUGAGACACGGCCCAAACUCCUACGGGAGGCAGCAGUAGGGAAUCUUCCACAAUGGGCGAAAGCCUGAUGGAGCAACGCCGCGUGGGUGAAGAAGGUCUUCGGAUCGUAAAACCCUGUUGUUAGAGAAGAAAGUGCGUGAGAGUAACUGUUCACGUUUCGACGGUAUCUAACCAGAAAGCCACGGCUAACUACGUG
rnacentral:rRNA from 1 species